rnacentral:rRNA from 1 species
UACAGAGGUGGCAAGCGUUGUUCGGAAUUACUGGGCGUAAAGGGCGCGUAGGCGGCAAGGCAAGUCAGGUGUGAAAGCCCCGAGCUUAACUCGGAAUUGCAUCUGAAACUGCUGUGCUUGAGUUCUGGAGGGGUAGUGGAAUUCCCAGUGUAGCGGUGAAAUGCGUAGAUAUUGGGAGGAACACCUGCGGCGAAGGCGGCUACCUGGACAGAAACUGACGCUGAGG